AACAAUGAAACAUUUAUUAAAAUUAUAUUUACAUACCUGAUUAAAGAUGCAAAAGGUGUUUCAAAACAGUGAUCAACGGCGCCGAUUGUCUCUUUUUUCCUGUUUAGAUUCACACUGUUUGUUGACCAGCAGCCACCUCCAUCCUGUAAGUAGCAACGUUUAGUCUGACUUGAGACUAAAAAUAUAAAACAUGGACAGCUGUAAUCUGUCUGUCUUUAUCUUUUAAAUCACAGCUGAAUGUGGUUUGUCAACACAGACUGUCCGGUGACUAAUAGCUGCAGCGAUGUCAGGUAUUUCUGUUCUUUGUUUCUUCAAAGAACCAAUGUGGCUUAUAUAAAAAGCUUGGUCUUCUUAUAUAGAAAAGAUUUUUGAACAAGCCUUUUUUUACAUGAAACAAUUUCUGUUUUAUGAAUGAUAUCUCUCUGACCAAUUAUCCAGCUUAAUUUAAAAGGGAAUUAUUUAAAUGCCAGUCGGUAAUCUCAGGUUUUAACAUAAAAAUAAGUCAGGUUAACCAUUAAAGAGACAUUUUAUUCUUGAAUUAAACCAAAAUGGUCAGCUGAGGAGAAGCUAAACAUCAAGAUGACAUCUAGUGAUGCAUGUGUUUUGCUUUGGAAAUGUUUAGUCAUGAAGCAGAAUGACAUCAACAAAUUCUUAAAAUUUUAUGGACACAUUAUGCAAGCAUUUGUGAUCAAAUCAGUUUCUUUUUAUGUUCCAUGUAGCCUGUUCUUUACUAUGUGUUGGUAUGAUAAAAUAAGGGGAUACCCAGGUUUUAUUUUUGUUUCAAUCAAAGGUUAACAUAAACAAAACUUAGGGAUGGUUAGAAAUAAUAUAAAGUGUUCAAGAACACAGGGAAAUAUCUGCAACAGGUGGGACACCAACUGCUGAGAACCAGACUUUGUUUUAGGGAAUUCACUUCUCUUUUUGACUAAAUAGAAAUGGGUCUCAUUUUCAUUUUUCUAUUUUAUGCCUGGAAUUUAUGUCAGCAUGCAAAAAUUGAAAAAAAAAGUCAUUUAAAAUAAGCUCAAUCUUAAUUUGGUUUGGCUUGAAUGAAUGGCUGAGUGGCUUAUUUCUACAAUUACAUUAAAGCAAUCAAGAGUAAAGAACAUGCCUGUAGAGAUGUGUAGAAUGAUAGGAUUCAUUUUAAGGCUUUAAUAUAAAAAGAAAAACAGCUGACAGAAAAUUGGCAAGCAACUUUGUUUGAUAUCAUCCAGUAUGACACAAAUAUUUAUGAAUCAGAAUCAUGUUUUAUUAAAUUAGUUCAACAUGUUAGUACCAUCAUUAGUCCAGAUCAUGAUUGUUUCAUACAAUAUCUGUAAAGUUUUUGGAUUAAAAAAACUGCUUAUAUUUUAACUGAAAUAAAACUCAAUGGGUGUCCAGUUUGUUUACUUGUUACUUCAUAUUAAGUCGUGUUCUAGAUUCAAACUCAGUGGAAUAAUCUU